CCUACGGGCUGCACCAGUGGGGAAUAUUGCACAAUGGGCGCAAGCCUGAUGCAGCCAUGCCGCGUGUAUGAAGAAGGCCUUCGGGUUGUAAAGUACUUUCAGCGAGGAGGAAGGCAUUAAGGUUAAUAACCUUGGUGAUUGACGUUACUCGCAGAGGAAGCACCGGCUAACUCCGUACCAGCAGCCGCGGUAAUACGGAGGGUGCAAGCGUUAAUCGGAAUUACUGGGCGUAAAGCGCACGCAGGCGGUCUGUCAAGACGGAUGUGAAAUCCCCGGGCUCAACCUGGGAACUGCAUCCGAAACUGGCAGGCUAGAGUCCUGUAGAGGGGGGUAGAAUUCCAGGUGUAGCGGUGAAAUGCGUAGAGAUCUGGAGGAAUACCGGUGGCGAAGGCGGCCCCCUGGACAAAGACUGACGCUCAGGUGCGAAAGCGUGGGGAGCAAACAGGAUUAGAUACCCUUGUAGUC
rnacentral:rRNA from 1 species